AAAUUGAAGAGUUUGAUCAUGGCUCAGAUUGAACGCUGGCGGCAGGCCUAACACAUGCAAGUCGAACGGUAACAGGAAGCAGCUUGCUGCUUUGCUGACGAGUGGCGGACGGGUGAGUAAUGUCUGGGAAACUGCCUGAUGGAGGGGGAUAACUACUGGAAACGGUGGCUAAUACCGCAUAACGUCGCAAGACCAAAGAGGGGGACCUUCGGGCCUCUUGCCAUCAGAUGUGCCCAGAUGGGAUUAGCUAGUUGGUGAGGUAACGGCUCACCAAGGCGACGAUCCCUAGCUGGUCUGAGAGGAUGACCAGCCACACUGGAACUGAGACACGGUCCAGACUCCUACGGGAGGCAGCAGUGGGGAAUAUUGCACAAUGGGCGCAAGCCUGAUGCAGCCAUGCCGCGUGUAUGAAGAAGGCCUUCGGGUUGUAAAGUACUUUCAGCGGGGAGGAAGGUGUUGUGGUUAAUAACCGCAGCAAUUGACGUUACCCGCAGAAGAAGCACCGGCUAACUCCGUGCCAGCAGCCGCGGUAAUACGGAGGGUGCAAGCGUUAAUCGGAAUUACUGGGCGUAAAGCGCACGCAGGCGGUCUGUCAAGUCGGAUGUGAAAUCCCCGGGCUCAACCUGGGAACUGCAUUCGAAACUGGCAGGCUUGAGUCUUGUAGAGGGGGUAGAAUUCCAGGUGUAGCGGUGAAAUGCGUAGAGAUCUGGAGGAAUACCGGUGGCGAAGGCGGCCCCCUGGACAAAGACUGACGCUCAGGUGCGAAAGCGUGGGGAGCAAACAGGAUUAGAUACCCUGGUAGUCCACGCCGUAAACGAUGUCUACUUGGAGGUUGUGCCCUUGAGGCGUGGCUUCCGGAGCUAACGCGUUAAGUAGACCGCCUGGGGAGUACGGCCGCAAGGUUAAAACUCAAAUGAAUUGACGGGGGCCCGCACAAGCGGUGGAGCAUGUGGUUUAAUUCGAUGCAACGCGAAGAACCUUACCUGGUCUUGACAUCCACAGAACUUUCCAGAGAUGGAUUGGUGCCUUCGGGAACUGUGAGACAGGUGCUGCAUGGCUGUCGUCAGCUCGUGUUGUGAAAUGUUGGGUUAAGUCCCGCAACGAGCGCAACCCUUAUCCUUUGUUGCCAGCGAUUAGGUCGGGAACUCAAAGGAGACUGCCAGUGAUAAACUGGAGGAAGGUGGGGAUGACGUCAAGUCAUCAUGGCCCUUACGACCAGGGCUACACACGUGCUACAAUGGCGCAUACAAAGAGAAGCGACCUCGCGAGAGCAAGCGGACCUCAUAAAGUGCGUCGUAGUCCGGAUUGGAGUCUGCAACUCGACUCCAUGAAGUCGGAAUCGCUAGUAAUCGUGGAUCAGAAUGCCACGGUGAAUACGUUCCCGGGCCUUGUACACACCGCCCGUCACACCAUGGGAGUGGGUUGCAAAAGAAGUAGGUAGCUUAACCUUCGGGAGGGCGCUUACCACUUUGUGAUUCAUGACUGGGGUGAAGUCGUAACAAGGUAACCGUAGGGGAACCUGCGGUUGGAUCACCUCCUUA
rnacentral:rRNA from 2 species